rnacentral:lncRNA from 1 species
CUUAAGCUAUCAAUUUGAAGUUUGUCUACGUCUUGUAGUGUCGCCAAAAUUUAUUGUGUAAUUUAAAAAUACUAAAUCAUUCAGAAAGAAAUGGAGCAGUAUUAUCAAGGCUAUGAAAAUGAUGAGAUCCUGGAUUGUCAUUGUUCACCAUACGCAGAAUGUCAACAGCAACAAGGUAAGACAAAAAAAACAAA